rfam:Arthrobacter sp. ERGS1:01, complete genome.
AAUGAGCCGCUAGGCACCCGGACGAGGUGCGCCGUACCCGGCCAGCGACAAGACGGCGCCAU